GUUUGGGUAGUUUAAGGAAAACAUUGGUCUGUGACUCCAAAAAUAUAUUUUUUAUUUCAAACA
rnacentral:tRNA from 1 species